rnacentral:rRNA from 1 species
GACGUAGGGUGCAAGCGUUGUCCGGAUUUAUUGGGCGUAAAGAGCUCGUAGGCGGCUUGUUGCGUCGACUGUGAAAACCCGCGGCUUAACCGCGGGCUUGCAGUUGAUACGGGCAGGCUAGAGUUCGGUAGGGGAGACUGGAAUUCCUGGUGUAGCGGUGAAAUGCGCAGAUAUCAGGAGGAACACCGGUGGCGAAGGCGGAUCUCUGGGCCUUACCUGACGCUCAGGUGCGAAAGCUAGGGGAGCGAACAGG